GGCAACCUGUUGGGGUCCUGUUCUGUGCUGUGGAAUGUUUGUUCUUUUGGUUUUUGCAGUGAAUCUUGCUGCUGCUCACUCUUCGGGUCUGCACUACCUUUAUGAGCUGCAAUACUCACUGUGAAGGUCUGCAGCUUCACUCCUGAAGCCAGGGAGACCACAAGCCCACCGGGAGGAACAAACAACUCCGGACCUGCCACCUUUAACAGCUGUAACACUCACUGCCAAGGUCUGCGGCUUCACUCCUGAAGUCAGUGAGACCACGAACCCACCAGAAGGAAGAAACUCAGGAAACAGCUGAACAUCUGAAGGAACGAACUCCAGACACACCGUCUUUAAGAACUGUAACUCACGGGCACGGUGGCUCAUGCCUAUGAUCCCAGCACUUUGGGAGGCUGAGACGGGCGGAUCAUGAGAGGAACACUCACCGUGAGGGUCUGCAGCUUCUUUCUUGAAGACAGCGAGACCAAGAACCCACAGAAGGAACCAAUUCCGGACACAUUAUCUCUGGCUAUUUUUACAAAUAACACAGAGUUGAGUAUUAAUAGCUAUGUGAGAAGCCUUAUGGCCCACAAAGCUGAAAAUGUCUGCUGUCUGACUCUUCACACAAGGGAAGUUGCCAAGCCCUGGGUUAAGUACAUGGUCCAGCAUCAUAGCUUCAAAGUGACCUUGGGCUUCAA
rnacentral:lncRNA from 1 species